AACGAACGCUGGCGGCAUGCCUAACACAUGCAAGUCGAACGAGAUCUUCGGGUCUAGUGGCGCACGGGUGCGUAACGCGUGGGAAUCUGCCCUUUGGUUCGGAAUAACAGUUGGAAACGACUGCUAAUACCGGAUGAUGACGAAAGUCCAAAGAUUUAUCGCCAGAGGAUGAGCCCGCGUAGGAUUAGCUAGUUGGUGUGGUAAAGGCGCACCAAGGCGACGAUCCUUAGCUGGUCUGAGAGGAUGAUCAGCCACACUGGGACUGAGACACGGCCCAGACUCCUACGGGAGGCAGCAGUGGGGAAUAUUGGACAAUGGGCGCAAGCCUGAUCCAGCCAUGCCGCGUGGGUGAUGAAGGCCCUAGGGUUGUAAAGCCCUUUCAGCGGGGAAGAUAAUGACGGUACCCGCAGAAGAAGCCCCGGCUAACUUCGUGCCAGCCGCCGCUGUAA
rnacentral:rRNA from 1 species